ACAAUCAAAGUCGUGUUUUUUGUUUUUGUUUUUGUACCCAUCCUAUGAUGCCGAGCACUGUCCCUGUUGGUGUCUACUCUUCUUCAUCCCUUGUACAACCCAAAUAGCCUCUUCAGCAUUGGCAAGAUCAUGGUCUCUGUGUGCCCAUAACACAGCUACCAUGUUCUACAACGUGCUGCCUCUUCCCAAUCAGCUUCUAUCCACCUUACCCCUUCCAUUAGCAAUUUUCUAGAGGAUGUUUCUGGUGUGAGAUUUUCCACUAUGGUGCUGUGUUCAGUCUAUGUUCUGCAUUGAACCAUUUUACUACUGGUUACUGGUUACUAAUCAGUUCCAAGAGACUAAUGCUCAGUUUGAUAAUAGAGGGAUGAACCACACCUAGAUAAAGAUCUGUUGUGAAAGAAAAAGGGAAAAAUGAAAGAAUUGAUAUUAUCCAUCCUUAGUUUGCUGUCAAGGACCGAAAGAAAAGGUGCAACUUAUGGGAUAGACUCACAACCAAUGUUUGGUUGCAGCUGGCAAGCUCACAGUUAGCGACAAGCUCCGGGCCAAGUGGUGGCAGGCUUACAAGCAGACCUCAAGGUCGCAACUUGUGGUUGGGCUCACAGGCAGUGGGUGAGGAUGAUGCUCAAGAGGAGGGUGUGGGCAAUGAAGAAAGAGGUUGAGAUUUUAGGAGUUGGGAAAGAAGGAAAGAAUCAAUUUUGGACAGAUCAAAAUUUGGCCAAAAAUCAAUUCAAUCCAUUCUUUGGGUAAUUAUGCUUCUAAUAAAUGAUGCACACUGUUAGACCUUCAUGCAAUAUGCCCUUUGAAUGAUCCAUCUUACAGAGUGAUCCGGUCCGAGAUUAACUCCUGAACAUAUCAGCAGCCAACCUCUCGGUAGGUCGGAUGUACAUUAGGUCAGUUUUCGUUGAGCUGGCUUCCAUCGGAUUGGCUCCUGCCAGGUUGGCUGUUACUGUGCUUAGUAAUCGUGAGGAUUUGGGCGAUGAUCUCCGGUGCCGGCCAUUGAAAGGAUGAGAAAGAGGUUAGAAGGGGGUCAAGGCAUACUUUAGCGUGGUCCCUCCAACGCUCAAGUCAAACUCGGUAAGAGAGAGUUGGAGAGGAAAGACAACAGCAAAGUGAAAAGUAGUAAAAUCUGAUAUCUCCCUUCUGUUGCAGUCACCAUUACAUUAUAUAAGGGUGAAGAGGUGACCUCGAUCCUUAGAGGAUGAACAUCUUUCUUCUCCCCCAUAAGGCGCGAUCUUCUGCAACCAACAAUUGCUAUAAUUGCCGCAUCCUUUGGGGAUGCGAGCAAUCUGCUAUGACUGUUGUGUCCCUGGGGCUACUAGCGGCUUGCAUAACGACCACGUCCCUUGGGGCUGCUAGCAGCUUGCAUAAUUGUUGCAUCCCUUGGAGCUGCGGGCUGUCUGCAUAACGGUCGGAUCCCUUGGGGCUACUGGUGGCUUGUUGUAACUGUCACGUCCCUUGGGGCUACUGCUUGCUGUAACUGCCGCGUCCCUUUGAGCUUCUGGCGACCUUGCUGCUCCCGGACUCUAGCAAGUAGAGCCUAACUCGAGUUGAAUCAGACGGAUUGAGGAUUGCGUUGACCGGGUCAUGAUCUGUGCUACAUGGCUGCGUUGUUGGUUUCUCUACUCCUACAUUAGAUUCCUCUAGACUUAUGCAAAGCUACUUUAAUCAUUACCAUGAUUUGAAGCAAGCCCCCGCGGGCUGGAUCAACCGGUUAAGGCGUGGCAUCCUUGCACAAUAAGUCGUAGGGUCGAAGGUCCACGGACGCGCACUGGAUGAAUAAUCUAGACCGGCUAUGUUAAAUUCCGGAGACACCACGCUUUACCCGAGCCACCAUUCACCGCUGAUUUACCUCCUCCUAGGAUUCCUGUGGGGCCAAGCCUAGGGGGCCGCUGGGCGGCGGGACCUGCCUUUUACACAAUGAUUUGAAGCAAGCAGUAGACAUCACAAACUACAAAUAAGUUCUUGAGUUUUGCACAGUAAUAGCUAAUUAACUGUUAACUAAUGCAUAAUUAGAGAUGGCUGAUGCAAGGAGUCGAUGUAACUAAGAGAAGUUGUGGCUUCUCAGAUACAGUGAAUAGGUAGAUAGCAGCACCAGCAAGACCAGAAUGAUAGCAGCGAUCAGAGAGAUGCUGACUGAACUGCCGAUGCUAGUGCAGAACUUGUCGAAUUGAUUGCAUACUUUCAUCCAGAGAACGUGGGAGUUGCCCCUCAAAGCAAUGUAGGCAAUGGAUGCCACUGCUCCAGUAGCUGAGGCCAUGAUUCCACCCAUGAGCUACAAAGAAAUAGGCGAGUAUGAAUUAUAUUGAGAUAGAGAGGGUGGUACUGCAUCCAUGGCGGCGAAGAAGAGGAGCAACUUUGUAGGUUGAUAUGGUUUGGUCAUGGAGGAAGCAGAGAGGAUCAAAGUGAGCACACUAUAUAAGCAA